AUAUUUUCAUUAUAUUUGAAUUUUACAUUUUCGCGCAUUCCCUGUAUGCCCAUCGGUCGUUAUGUGGCCACAAUGUUGUCGUCGUUCCGUGCCGUGGCUGUCAUUUGUUGCGUUUAAGGAGCUUUUUAGCUUUCCGCACUUUUAGACAGUGUUUAGUGUCCACCGAUCUCUCCCCUGCUCCCUCGUCGACUCCUCUUUCUUUCGUGGCAGUUUUCCAGGUAGCUUCCUUUUGCGUUUCGUUGCUCAUGGGUUGUAGAUAAAAUGGCGCUUCUCCCAAAUCUAUUUGAUAUAAAACGGAGGGAAGAUGAGCUCGGGAGAAUGUACGGACAAUCUUGGUUUGAUAUUCGACAGCCUUUACGUAGCCAUACUUCUACGACCUCAUGUUAAACUAUAACAAUAGUAACAAUACAACUCGGGAGGUGAUAUGGUGAGCUGAGCAUAGGGUUAGAAGGAAAUACGGGACGCUUUAAACUUGGAACCGUGGUGGCUGACAUCGAGGUCUGCGCUGUCAUAGUGGCAGUCAUUCAGCUCACACCACAGCUGCGGUUAGCUACGAGCGUGUGUGCGUGUGUGUGUGUGUGUGUGUGUGUGUGUGUGUGUGUGUGUGUGUGUGUGUGUGUGUGUGUGUGUGUGUGUGUGUGUGUGUGUGUGUUUGCGCGCUUGCGUACGUGCGUGCGCGCGCGCUUGUGUGUGCGUGUAUUGUGUGUGCGCGCGCGCGCGCGCGCGCGUGUGUGUGUGUGUGUGUGUGUGUGUGUGUGUGUGUGUGUGUGUGGUGUGUGUGUGUGUGUGUGUGUGUGUGUUUGAGAGCUACAGUCGGUGGACACAUUUAAUACGACUGGAGAAAAGUUUAUACUAUUGCAGUGCAGGUUCGUGUAGAAGGAAUCCGUUCCAACACGCAGUUUGAACCGCGAGCGAGGACACGAGGGCGGGUGUUCCCGGCGUGCGGAAGCGUUCUGAUUAAUAUUAGUGUGGGGGAAACAGUACAGUAGAGGCGUUAUGACUAGUAAUGCGAUUUAAUAAGUAACAGUGGAAUUCGCCUGAAAAAAAUCCUAAAAGGAUUUUUCUUUUGUUCUUUAGAAUAGGCGUACCUACUUGUUGGUGUGUUGAACGCCUCUUUCUAUCAAUGAGACUUGGCCUGUGUCCAAAAUGAACACAAGGUUAAAUAUAAAGGUACGUUUUAGUAACUUAUAGCCCUAUAUAUAUUCACAAGGAAUGUGUGAGACAUUUGCUGAGCUCGUAUAUGGGCUACAAUUUCCACCGGGCAAUCAUGCUCAAAGGAGGAAAAAAAAGAACGAAAAUAUUAUCUUCAGAAUGACCUCACCAGUUUGGGAAUAUUAGUUUUUUCAAUGAGAAAUACCUUGGCUUCACUCCAUAACACGCUAUACGGUAGAUAUAUCUUGUUAAACAGUAGGCCUACUAUAAUACAGAGAACAACUCAGAGGGGCCUAUGUGCAUUUUUCAACAUCCCAUGAAGCUUUUCAAUUAAUGUUAAAUGUAACCAUGCUAAUACAAUUCCAUUAAAAUAACUUGUGCUUAUCCUCUCGAGGCUCUGUUUUAUCUGUUGUUUUGCAUAAAGCUAACAAUUCUCUCAAGUUUGUAGUUUGUUUUCUUCAACUGACCUUUUUCAGCUGCUGCUGCUGCUGCUGCAUAAAUAGGCUAGCAGCAGCUAUUUAUUUGUUACCCCUUUUUCCAGAAUUUAGCUUAUUAAGAAAAAUACAGCGUAACAUCUUAUGAUAACUUUAAUGAGUUGUGAAUUGAUCAGAUAGUUGGAAGGCAGAACGAAGCCAGCACGGGGCUUCGUUCCAAGGCCGCAGCGAGUGCCGUGUGUCCUUGCAGGAGCCAGCCGCUCUCAGUACCUUUCCUAAGUUAAAGACUUUAUAUCCUUUUUUCUGAACGACAUUGUAUGGUUAUUUUACACAGACUGGGUUUAAAUAAGCUUCUGGGACCUAUAGUCUUAAGGACCAAAUUAUAACGAAUUUUCUAAUCAUUUGAUUCAUUAUUGAUGUAAUACAUUACAGGGUUUCAUCUUAAAAUGUAUAUUUCAUUUCCAAAACCUGCUAAGACUUUAAAGAGAAAGAUUGAAUGUUAGGUUCAGACGCAGACCUACCGCAGUGGUCCAUUUAAAAUAAAAAUGGUUUAUGAGAGUCAACAGAAAAGCCAACAGUUGUGGCCAAAUAAUAAAGCUGUUUGACUAUGCGGAAAAAUUCCCCACUAUAUUAUUACACCGGUAGGCUAACAAUUUAAAGACUCAUUGCAUUGCAAAUUCUUCUAACUUCUAAAUCAUCGAUUAAUGCAAAUAAUUUCGAAAUAAAAAUGCAUAAAAACCCAGGGAUGGAAUUGAAAACGGCCCUACAAGUCACCCUUCAAAUAUGAGGCUUGGCCAAUGCUUAGUGCCAUAGGUUGGUCGUUUAAUUGUGUGGUUUUUGAACAAAACAAACUUUAAUAGUGACCUGGAGGUGUCAGAAUCGAUAGAUAUCUGAAUGUGUAAUUAGGUCCGGCACAAGGGCAUGUUUAGUAUAGAUUCCAGAGAGUGGUAGACGCGGGACCGCAUUGAGCGUCUCUUCUUUCCAUUAAUUAAAAUGUAUUGGCAACAGAUCCUCUCGAUGUCCGCCUGCAUGCUGUCCAUAUGCGAAAUACAUAUUGAUUUUGUUAGACUACAGUUGGGCGUACGGUCCGACUGAUAUUUGUUAAACAGAAGUGAUUUUUUUUGGACCCCAUCGCUAUGGGAAUAUAAGCAAUGUUUCAAAUGAUCGCCACGCCAAUGAAAGAUGAGUCAUAUUUUUCCCGGACCGUAAUGGAACGUGACAACACUCGCACCCCACCGUACGGCUGUAUUUUAAACACGUUAUAUUCGGUUCUCUGCUUUUCCUUGUGACGCUGCAGAGUGUUUGUGCAUGGGCAACCGUGUAGGCCUACGCGUGUCAUCAGUAAAUGGGAAUAUUCCAGGUCAUUUUCUUCGAUGUUCUUCAAUUCAUACCAUAGGCCUAUAUCUAAUUAACAAUUAUCAAACUACGACUGAAACCAACAACAAACAAUGUGCCUUGUAAUUAAUGUUUAAAGGUCAGAAAGUAGGCUUAAUGCCGGACACCGGGCAUGCUGGACGCAAGGUACCAUCAGCCAAAUUAUUAAAUUUGCAAAACUGCACUGGGAGGUUAUUACAGGGGAACAUGGCAGCGUUUCACAACCUUGUAGGACAAAAAUCAUUAGCAUAAAGUUUUAAUGUGGUUUGAAGUUCACCGAGCCGUCGUUAAUUAAAAACUUUAUGCGAUGUGUUCCGAUAUCAAUUAUUUCAGACUCCAGCAAGACCCCUCCAAAUGUGAUGUAGGCUGUAAUAAACGUGGAGUGCGACUUCAGUUCAGCUCCUAACUGGGCAGCAGAGCUGUGUUUGCCUUCACACAGUGCCAACACUAGAAGCUUACUGCAACUCGCUGCAACGCUCCGCUCUUUUUUUGUACGAGAGCUUAUGUCCAAUUAUUUACAGUUAAAGUAUUUAAGAUUUGGAGAACAAAUGAAAACUUGAAAUUCUUUCUGUCACGUAAUUUGGCGAAAUGCUUGAAAGCAAACACAGCAAACAGGCCUAUAGUAAUUGCCUCUAUAGAAAAAGAAUACAAAUGCUGCUAGAAUAAAACGGUGCUUGUAGUUGCUAUUCUAGUGCGAGUGCGUAAUUGAUGUGCCGCUGCGCAAGAUAAACCGAAAAGUUCAUUAUGCCUUUUGCGUGUGUCAUUCGCGCAAAAACGAGAUCCUAUGUUCCAUCAUGUGUCCCCUCAUAGUGUCCACACCACAUUCAUGUUUUCUUGCUGGCUGUACAGUUUUUGCUGUACAUUAAGACAAUUCAUUCUAGAGUUGUUUUUAUUUGUACUCAACAGCAGCAAUGACUUUGGGAAUCCAAGACCAAUGUCAGUUUUUUACUAUACGCCUUGGUACACAGUGUGUGUGUGUGUGUGUGUGUGUGUGUGUGUGUGUGUGUGUGUGUGUGUGUGUGUGUGUGUGUGUGUGUGUGUGUGUGUGUGUGUGUGUGUGUGUGUGUGUGUGUGUGUGUGUGUGUGUGUGUGUGCGUGCGUGUGUGCGUGUUAUUCCUGUUCUGUUGAUGCUGGGCCCUGCGUCAGCUGUAGGUUCUGGUUUCAAUAGGACACAGUGAUGGCGGAGGUGCUUCUGUAAGCUGAGGUGGGCCUGAUCUGGUAACAUACCAGUACCAGCAUCACUUUACAUCACGUACACCUACACACAAACACACACAUCAAAACACACACUCAAACACGCUUGCUCAAGCAGACACACGCAAACUUGCUCAAACACAAACAAAAUACACACAAAACACACACACAACACAUACAAAGUGGCCGAAGAGCCACUGCUGGAGUUUUGGUGGAGGGCCGGCGUGGCGACUGGCCUGGGGGUGGUGGGAGUGGUGGAGGGCCGGCGUGGCGACUGGCCUGGGGGUGGUGGGCGUGGUGGAGGGCCGGCGUGGUGACUGUCUGGUGGAGGUGGGUUUGGUGCCGGUGUGGCGACUGGCCUGGUGGAGGUGGGUUUGGUGGGGAUGGGUUUGGUGGAGGUGGGUUUGGUGGAGGUGGGUUUGGUGGGGAUGGGUUUGGUGCUGAAUAAAGGGCUGCUGGAGGCUGCGUGGCACUGCCAGCUCUGCCAGCGCUGCCAGCCAGGCAGGAGGCAUGAUAGUAGCCGCAGCCCGGGGGAACAUUGUGUUCUUUUGCCUUAUUCAUGAUUUCGCUUUUUUUUUGUUACCGCCGCCAUCGUUCUCCGAGUGUUUCGAUUGGACAGUCGCCGUGGUCUCUGAGGCUCGGCGUCUUCUUUUUAUCCAUCAGGCAAACACUGGCUAAGGAGGACAGUAUUAAUAAUACAGAUACCAUGCACGUUAAUAAUGCUGGCGACGUAAUAGAGUGCGGCUUUUCAUCAAUCGUAUAUUAGCUUCUAAUUUGUGUAUAAAGACAUCUCACACUGUAUUAGUGUGUGUUUAUUCCGAAUGUACUGUUACUCAUAUAAAUGUAUAAUAUAAAUAUAUGAUAGUUUGUAAAAAUAUGCGGUUUAAUUGAGUUGCUAUUUAACACAUAGGCAUUUGACAGCAUGUGUGUGUGCACUGCAGUUUUUCUCAGAUCUCAGUUCCAUAAGUUGAAAUCCAUACUGGGGUUUCCUCUCAAUUCUUAUCUGUUCAGUCUUCCUGUCGGCCGGUGAAAUAUCCAUUUCUCAUGCCUUACUUACACAAUUAGCACCAAGGUAUGGUUGGAUAUGAUAUGAUUGUAUGUGUGUUCCUGUUUGCCAAUAGGUAAACUGUUUUUUUUUGUGUGUGUGUGUGUGUGUGUGUGUGUGUGUGUGUGUGUGUGUGUGUGUGUGUGUGUGUGUGUGUGUGUGUGUGUGUGUGUGUAUGUGUGUGUGUGUGUGUGUGUGUGUGUGUGUGUGUGUGUGUGUGUGUGUGU